UACGGAGGGGGCUAGCGUUGUUCGGAAUUACUGGGCGUAAAGAGUGUGUAGGCGGUGCUCUAAGUUUGGUGUGAAAUCUCCCGGCUCAACCGGGAGGCUGCAUCGAAUACUGGAAUGCUAGAGGGUGGGAGAGGUAAGCGGAAUUCCUGGUGUAGCGGUGAAAUGCGUAGAUAUCAGGAGGAACACCUGUGGUGUAGACAGCUUACUGGACCACUUCUGACGCUGAGACACGAAAGCGUGGGUAGCAAACAGG
rnacentral:rRNA from 1 species